rnacentral:lncRNA from 1 species
AGGAUGGCUCGCUCUUGUCCUCCCCGUUCUUCAAGGGAUUCCUGGCAGGAUACAUGGUGGCCAAACUGAGGGCAUCUGCAGUAUUGGGCUUUGCAGUGGGCACUUGCACUGGCAUCUACGCGGCUCAGGCAUACGCUGUACCCAACGUGGAGAAGACACUGAAGAACUACUUUAGGUCACUACGAAAGGGGCCUGACUAGCCCCUGUGGAGAAGGCAGGAUGAGCAUGUUGGGCCUGCAGGUAGAGACCUUCCUGUCACAGCCACUCUGCCUGGCUCCCUCUGCUGUUCAUGUGCUAACCCCACCCCUCCUGCCUCUUUCCUCCCUGCCUUUCUUCCUGCAGAGAGUGGACAAUGCAUUGUCAGCCUGCACCCUACACUCCUUCCCUCCCUAGUUCCAUGGGACUGACCCCAAAACUACGGGUCAUGAACCCCCUCUUCAAGACCUAACUGGAAUGUGCAGCUGUCUCUGAU